GACGAACGCUGGCGGCGUGCCUAAUACAUGCAAGUAGAACGCAGUUGCGAAAGGGUGAGUAACGCGUAGGUAACCCCGUCAUAGCGGGGGAUAACUAUUGGAAACGAUAGCGAAAAUCGCACACUGUGAGAUGGACCUGCGUUGUAUUAGCUAGUUGGCGAGGUAAAGGCUCACCAAGGCGACGAUACAUAGCCGGUCUGAGAGGGUGAUCGGCCACACUGGGACUGAGACACGGCCCAGACUCCUACGGGAGGCAGCAGUAGGGAAUCUUCGGCAAUGGACGGAAGUCUGACCGAGCAACGCCGCGUGAGUGAAGACGGUUUUCGGGUCGUAAAGCUCUGUUGUUAGGGAAGCGGUAACUGAUCAGAAAGGGACGGCUAACUACGUGCCAGCAGCCGCGGUCCUAC
rnacentral:rRNA from 1 species